UGAUAAUGGCUGCCCUGAUGCG
rnacentral:misc_RNA from 1 species